AAUUUUUUUUUUUGAGAAAAUAACGCAUUCAAUUAUAUUGGGCCCAAAAUUUGUUUUGCCGACAUCCUAAAUAUACAUAUAAUACGUUUGGCUCAUCUGGAUUAGUUCACUCUGUAAAAACCCUAUCUCUAGAAAGUAGUAACUCUUCGACGGUCCGGUACUGCAAAUGACUUCAAGGGUUGCAGGCCGAUUAUAUAUUGUCUUUUGGAGAAAUUUCCUAGCAAUUCUAUCUCAGCAACAACGGACGGUUAUCUGAUGAGCAAUUUUACGGUAUUGUUACGGACAUAAGAUUUGCUCUGACGGUGGAAACGUCAUCGAAUAAAAGCUGCUAAAACCAGAAUUGAAGUUAAUGGAUUUUCGCAACUCAGAUCAUGUUGGAUAUUAUACCGUGAAGCUGGUUGGACUUCUUUGAGUGCAUAUAGUUAUUGUUACGUGAGAUGUUAUUGGUAAAUAAAUAUAUCGAUUAAUAAAUUGAAUAUUGACAUGGAUUAGUGAUUUAUUUUAGAGUGCGUUUGGAUGGAAGGAUUUGGAGGAGGAUUUGAUUUGGGGAGUCAUUUGAAAUCCACACCAAUUGCCCCAAAAAAAACUAAA